GCAUUUGUGGUUCAGUGGUAGAAUUCUCACCUCCCACAUGGGAGACCCAGGUUCAAUUCCUACCCAGUGCA
rnacentral:tRNA from 1 species